UAGUCUGCAACUCGACUACAUGAAGUCGGAAUCGCUAGUAAUCGCAGGUCAGCAUACUGCGGUGAAUACGUUCCCGGGCCUUGUACACACCGCCCGUCACACCACGAAAGUUGACAACACCCGAAGCCGGUGAGCUAACUCGUAAGAGAGGCAGCCGUCGAAGGUGGGGUUGAUGAUUGGGGUGAAGUCGUAACAAGGUAGCCGUAUCGGAAGGUGCGGCUGGAUCACCUCCUUU
rnacentral:rRNA from 1 species